AUGCAAAAUCCCUCUUCUCUCAAAGGAAAACAAAAUCCACCGCACAGCCUUCAUCUUCGAUCAAUGCACAACGGGCGUCCGUGUCCGACACCAUUCUUCUUCCUCGCCUAUUCAAUUUCAAAAAACCCUAACGUACUCACUAUGCCAGCGAUUCAAGUGGCAAUUUAUGGGGGCUUUACUUCUAAUCUUCACUUCUACCAAUUCUCAUCAAGAAAAGCAGAGAAAGAGAUAAACAAAAUGUGUGUGUGUUGCUUACCUACCGGGAGAACUGUCGGAGCUUAUUCAACAAUCGUUGCAACGACAAGAAAUCUAGAGAUUUGUUGA